GGGCAUUUGAACUUUCACGUCAGGACAUAGUGAACUAGGCCUACCAUAUAGGCUAAGCCUAAACCUUUAGGGCUGAAGAAACAAAAAACAGGUAUUUUUCAUUGAAUAUGCUCAUUUUGGGUAGGGUCUUUAUGAUGAGAUGAUGCAACAUGUCCCAGCAUGUUCCCAUGCAAUGCUGUGCAACUGAGGAAAUGCCACACCAAGAGGAAGAGAGACUUCCAGGCAGAAAUGUCUGACAGCGGCCUCAACCAUGACCUGUGACCUGGAAAAACUUGCCCCUAACUGAGAGAGAUGGAGAACAUUUGUCAACGGACAAUGCUUCUUAUAGGCGCCAAGGUUAAGACAAGAAGCCAAGACAGAUCAUCUCAUAAAAGAUUCAUUUGUUUUUGUAACGGCUGUCGUGGGAAGAAGGUGAGGACCAAGGUGCAGCAUGGGCCUGAGCCCUAGGACCAUGCCCCAGGACUACCUGGCCUGAUGAUUCCUGGCUGUCCCCAGUCCACCUGGUCGUGCUGCUGCUCCAGUUUAAACUGUUCUGCCUGCGGUCUUGGAACCCUGACCUGUUCACCGGAUGUGCUACUUUGUCCCUCGUUUACAACCACUGUGAUUAUUAUUUGACCCUGCUGGUCAUCUAUGAACAUUUGAAAAUCUUAAAGAACAAUCUGUCCUUAAUGGCCAUGUACUCUUAUAAUCUCCACCCGGCACAGCCAGUAGAGGACUGGCCACCCCUCAGAGCUUGGUUCCUCUCUAGGUUUCUUUGUAAGGAGUUUUUAAUAGGCACUGCAAUCUGCAUUGCUUGCUGUUUUGGGUUUUAGGUUGGGUUUCUGUAAAACACUUUGUGAUAUAAGCUGAUGUAAAAGGGCUUUAUGAAUGCAUUUGAUUGAUUGAUAGUAUUUCAAAUUGAGCUAUAUUGUAUGCAAUUUUUUAAAAUUGUAUUAUUUUAUAAUAAUACAAUUGCUCAGUGAAAGAGAUUUUGUUUAACAAGUAAUAAAA
ensembl:lncRNA